rfam:Ruminococcus sp. 37_24 Ley3_66761_scaffold_193, whole genome shotgun sequence.
UAUAUUCUGCCUUGUACGUGUCAAUGUAGUUUUUAUAAUCCAACACUCUUUUAAAGGGAAUCUGACUCUGAACAGAGGAUUGCAGACCUCCCGCUAUGCGGACGAAGGGAGCGUGAGACUUUCAGGAGGAUACCCACCUGGCUUUUUAGCUUGGUUUUAUGUGCUAUAUGACGGCAAGGCGGUUUAUAU